rnacentral:tRNA from 1 species
GGAUUCUAAACUAAAGUAUUCUUCG